GAUGAACGCUGGCGGCGUGCUUAAUACAUGCAAGUCGAGCGGACGGACGAGUAGCUUGCUACUCUUAGGUUAGCGGUGGACGGGAGAGUAACAAGUGGAUACCCUCCCUAUAAGACUGGGAUAACUUCGGGAAUCCUGCGCUAAGACCGGCUCAUACUUUGAACCGCAUGGUGCAAAAGUGAAAGACGGUCUUGCGGUCACUUAUAGUAGCAUCCGCGCUGUAUGAGAUAGUUGGUAAGAUAACGCCCUACCAAGUCAACGAGGCAUAGCCGACGUGAGAGGGUGAUCGGCCACACGGGAGCGGAGACACGGUCAAGACUCCUGCGAGAGGCAGCAGUAGGGAAUCGUACGCAGUGGGCGGAAGUAUGGCGGAGCAACGCGGAGUGAGUGAUGGAGAUCUUCGGUUCGUGAAACUCUGUUAUGAGGGGUGAACAUAUGUGUGAGUAAAUGUGGACAUAGUGACGGUACCUGAUCAGAAAGCCACGGCUAACUACGUG
rnacentral:rRNA from 1 species